rnacentral:rRNA from 1 species
GACGAACGCUGGCGGCGUGCUUAACACAUGCAAGUCGAACGGACAGGCCCUGCUUUUGUGGGGUGCUCGAGUGGCGAACGGGUGAGUAAAACGUGAGUAACCUGCCCUUGAAUUUGGGAUAACUUCAGGAAAAUGGGGAUCAUACAGGAUAGGAGCUACUGCUGCACGGUGGGGGUUGGAAAGUUUCGGCGGUUGGGGCUGGAAUAGCAGCAUAUCAGCUUGUUGGUGGGGUUGUGGAUUACAAAGGGUUUGAAGGGUAGCCGGCCUGGGAGGGGGGCCGGCCACAAGGGUACUGAGAUACGCCCCAGUCGCCUACGGGAGGCAGCAGUGGGGAAUAUUGCACAAUGGCCGGAAGCCUGAUGCAGCAACGCCGCGUGCGGGAUGACGGCCUUCGGGUUGAAAACCGCUUUCGCCUGUGACGAAGCGGGAGUGACGGUAAUUGGUAAAGAAGCACCGGCUAACUACGUG